GAGAGACAGACGGUGUGAGAGAGAGUUGCGCGCACUGUUUGUUUACAGAUGGAUGUGUGAUGUGCAGCUCAGGGAUCAAUUUUUACACGAGACUGUUUAAUUGCAGUUUAUUUUGCGUCGUGCGCAACAUCUUACGCGCCACUGGAUUAACACGAACGUGCGCAGAUUUGGGAUUUUCGCAUCUCACUAUCACAAAGAAGUCGUGUAUCCAGCUGGAGGACUCUCUCUCUGGCCAGUUAUGGCUCAGGAUUUGGCAGAGUUGUCUGAAAGAAAGUCGCAAUGGGGCUUCCUCAUCAUCCCCGACAAUGCCAGCAUAACUCAUCAGAGCAAUAAGGCCGAUGCAGAACAG